UGGCUCAGAGCGAACGCUGGCGGCAGGCUUAACACAUGCAAGUCGAGCGGACCUUUCGGGGUCAGCGGCGGACGGGUGAGUAACGCGUGGGAACGUGCCUUCCGGUUCGGAAUAACCCUGGGAAACUAGGGCUAAUACCGGAUACGCCCUUAUGGGGAAAGGUUUACUGCCGGAAGAUCGGCCCGCGUCUGAUUAGCUAGUUGGUGGGGUAACGGCCUACCAAGGCGACGAUCAGUAGCUGGUCUGAGAGGAUGAUCAGCCACACUGGGACUGAGACACGGCCCAGACUCCUACGGGAGGCAGCAGUGGGGAAUAUUGGACAAUGGGCGCAAGCCUGAUCCAGCCAUGCCGCGUGAGUGAUGAAGGCCUUAGGGUUGUAAAGCUCUUUUAUCCGGGACGAUAAUGACGGUACCGGAGGAAUAAGCCCCGGCUAACUUCGUGCCAGCAGCCGCGGUAAUACGAAGGGGGCUAGCGUUGCUCGGAAUCACUGGGCGUAAAGGGCGCGUAGGCGGCGUUUUAAGUCGGGGGUGAAAGCCUGUGGCUCAACCACAGAAUGGCCUUCGAUACUGGGACGCUUGAGUAUGGUAGAGGUUGGUGGAACUGCGAGUGUAGAGGUGAAAUUCGUAGAUAUUCGCAAGAACACCGGUGGCGAAGGCGGCCAACUGGACCAUUACUGACG
rnacentral:rRNA from 1 species